GACGGGACCCCGCACAAGCGGUGGAUCAUGUUGUUUAAUUCGAUGAUACGCGAAGAACCUUACCAGGUCUUGACAUCCCCCGCGAUGCUUUAGAGAUAAAGCGGAGGUAUUCGGGGAGACAGGUGGUGCAUGGUUGUCGUCAGCUCGUGUCGUGAGAUGUUGGGUUAAGUCCCGUAACGAGCGCAACCCUUGUCCUUAGUUACCAGCACGUUAUGGUGGGCACUCUAAGGAGACUGCCGGUGACAAACCGGAGGAAGGUGGGGAUGACGUCAAGUCAUCAUGGCCCUUACGGCCUGGGCUACACACGUGCUACAAUGGUCGGUACAAAGGGUUGCCAAGCCGCGAGGUGGAGCUAAUCCCAUAAAACCGAUCGUAGUCCGGAUCGCAGUCUGCAACUCGACUGCGUGAAGUCGGAAUCGCUAGUAAUCGUGAAUCAGAAUGUCACGGUGAAUACGUUCCCGGGCCUU
rnacentral:rRNA from 1 species